rnacentral:tRNA from 1 species
GCGGGUGUGGCGGAAUUGGUAGACGCGACGGACUCAAAAUCCGUUUCUUUUUAGAGUGUCGGUUCGAGUCCGACCACCUGCACCA